ACUGUGUUGUGCCAACUUGACUUUAACUCAUUGUUAAUACAACAUGGCUGUAGGGAAAUAUUUCUUGGCUGAUGCUGGGUAUGCUGCGAGGCCAGGGAUAUUGCCUCCUUAUCGUGGUGUGCGCUACCACCUAAACGAAUUUGCUGGAGACCGUGACCCAACUACCCCAAAAGAAUUGUUCAACCACCGCCAUUCAUCACUUAGGACCACAGUUGAACGGGCAUUUGGGACUCUUAAGAGUCGCUUCAAGAUUCUUACUCAAAGGCCCUUCAUACCUUUGAAAUCUCAGAUUAAAGUGGUAGUUGCUUGUUGUGCUUUGCACAAUUGGAUAUUAGAAAAUGGUCCAGAUGAUUAUGUUGUGGAUGAGGCGACAUGGUAUGCCAAUCUCCCUAGGAGUACUGGGCGGGUUCGUGAUCAAGAGGCUGACAUACGUGAGUGGGCUGCCAAGCGAGAUUUAAUCGCUCAGCAAAUGUGGACAGAUAGAGAGAGUGCACGUGACAAUGAGGCUGAUGCUAUCCCAGCUCAGUAUCUUUGAUGUAUUUCCAUGUGAGGGAACAUUUGAAGGAUGUACUGUACCUUUGAUGUAUUUCCAUGUGAGGGAACAUUUGAAGGAUGUACUGUACCUUUGAUGUAUUUCCAUGCGAGGGAAAAAUUGAACGAUGUAGUGUUUCUAUUCUAAUGACUUUGUGUAAAUUAUCGUAUCCUCGUAAUAUUGUUUGACUUAUUUCAAUUUAAUCUGGUCUCUCUGUCCUAUUAAAUAAGUUUAGUUCUGUCCUGUUGUAAGUUGGAUCUGUGAUGUUUCAUGUUCGUAUGCUG
rnacentral:lncRNA from 1 species